GAACUAGUGGUGCAAUGGUAGCACGUCCGACUUCACGUCGGAAGAUGCGUGUUCGAAUCACGUCUGGUUCA